rnacentral:rRNA from 1 species
GAGUUUGAUCAUGGCUCAGAUUGAACGCUGGCGGCAGGCCUAACACAUGCAAGUCGAGCGGUAGAGAGAAGCUUGCUUCUCUUGAGAGCGGCGGACGGGUGAGUAAUGCCUAGGAAUCUGCCUGGUAGUGGGGGAUAACGCUCGGAAACGGACGCUAAUACCGCAUACGUCCUACGGGAGAAAGCAGGGGACCUUCGGGCCUUGCGCUAUCAGAUGAGCCUAGGUCGGAUUAGCUAGUUGGUGAGGUAAUGGCUCACCAAGGCGACGAUCCGUAACUGGUCUGAGAGGAUGAUCAGUCACACUGGAACUGAGACACGGUCCAGACUCCUACGGGAGGGCAGCAGUGGGGAAUAUUGGACAAUGGGCGAAAGCCUGAUCCAGCCAUGCCGCGUGUGUGAAGAAGGUCUUCGGAUUGUAAAGCACUUUAAGUUGGGAGGAAGGGCAGUAAAUUAAUACUUUGCUGUUUGACGUUACCGACAGAAUAAGCACCGGCUAACUCUGUGCCAG